rnacentral:rRNA from 1 species
CCUACGGGAGGCAGCAGUGAGGAAUAUUGGUCAAUGGCCGGAAGGCUGAACCAGCCAUGCCGCGUGAAGGUCAGUGCCCCAUGGGCGUUAAACUUCUUUUGUGCGGGAGCAAUAAUGGUCACGUGUGGCCAGACGAGAGUACCGUACGAAUAAGCAUCGGCUAAAUCCGUGCCAGCAGCCGCGGUAAUACGGGGGAUGCAAGCGUUUUUCGGAUUUAUUGGGUUUAAAGGGUGCGUAGGCUGUGAGGUAAGUCAGCGGUGAAAUGCCCCCGGUCAACGGGGUGAAGUGCCAUUGAUACUGCCAUGCUGGAGUGCGGAUGCCGUGGGAGGAAUGUGUGGUGUAGCGGUGAAAUGCAUAGAUAUCACACAGAACACCGAUUGCGAAGGCAUCUCACGAAUCCGCGAUUGACGCUGAUGCACGAAAGCGUGGGUAUCAAACAGGAUUAGAUACCCCUGUAGUC